rnacentral:rRNA from 1 species
CACCGCGGUUAUACGAGGGGCUCAAAUUGAUGUGUAACGGCGUAAAGAGUGAUUAGAGAAUACCUAACUAAAGCUGAAAACACCCUCAGUUGUCAUACGCUAAUGGUAAAUGGAAAGCCAGGAACGAAAGUAGCUUUAAAAAUCUUGAAUUCACGACCAUUGAGGAA